AUAUAUUUGUUUUCCGUUAAAAGUGUGCGUCUGGUAAAGAUUAUUUCAGAUAAUAAUGCAAUGUAUAUGUUAACAAGUAACGAUAUACCCUUUAGUUGUUUGUAAUUCAAGUCAUGUAUAACCUUCCAUAAAAGGUACACCUAUAAUCUAUUCCAAGUAGAAAUAAUAUACAUUAAGAAAUGAACUGCCUUCUGAAACAUAUGCAUUUUGUAUUUCCAAAAAAAAUAUGGUUAUUUUUAUGUUAUUUCUGUGCGUUUACGGUAGCUUUUCAAUGGGAGGCAUUUCUCUAUCCACGGUUGACAUGAAAGACGAUAUAGAAUACUACAUUUUAAUAGCGUAGAUAUCAUUUCUGAUAGUGUAUGUUUGAAUUGUUUUAUUUAAUAAUGUGCAAUUAUUUUUUUUUACUGUGAUAUAUGAGGAAAUAUGGUGAAGGGCUAAAUAUAAAAUGAGACGUCUAUUCCAUGUAUAUGUGUAUCUUUUAGUAAACUAACUAUAUAUAUUAUCAUCUCUUUUACAUUUAGUGCGUUUGUUUUUCAUGUGAAACAUACAACAGAAUAUAUACAUGCAAAUGUAGGGAAGAAAAAAUACGAUAUCUGAUUAGAAAAAAAGAUUGUACGAUUGAAGUACAUGCAUGAAAACAACAAAAAUCUUUAAAAUUAACCCAGUUUAGAAUUUUUUAGUUUUAUCUUUGUUUUCAGGUAACCUGCCACCCGAUAUUAAGCAAUUAUAAAUAAUAAAUUCUUGAAAACGUUUACAAAAAAACGAAAGAAGAAACUGUACUUUUAAAAUUCUCUUGAAUAUGUUUCGAUAGAAAUACAUAAAGUUUAACCAAUUUAAUUACAAUUUAUAUAGAUAUCCGCACUUGUUAUGCCUGGUCGUUAAGCGAGUGCGGUAAUUUAUUUUUAAUUAAAUCAAAAUUUGAAAAGAUUUUAUCCGCCUUAUGAAGCAGAAGGCGUAGUUUUGAUUAAUUAAAUUUGAUAACAUAUUUUUAUAUAAGAUUUUAUUAAUUUUGAUUCAAACAGGAAAACAGUAUAGAAAAUAAGACAUUUUUUACAAGAAUAUGUAUGUUACACCCAACACAGAGAUAUUCAGAGGUUGAAUCAUAGUAUAUACAAAUGGUCACAGAUAUUGUAAAUGUACGUAUUUGGAUGUAUAUUUCAAUAUAUUUAAUUAGACGAAUAGAAGAAUCCAAGAUAACGUAGUCACAUUCCAUUUUUCAUUUUUAUUAUAUUUAAUCAUUUAGAUUUUGUACAUUAUUCACAUUGUAGUUACUGCACUUUUAUUUAAUUUAUGCACAAUAAUGUAAAUAAAUGAUAAUGAAACCGAUACUGCUAUUAACAUCAUCUGUAGAGUCAGAAAUAAUAUAGUCAUCCACAAGCCAAGACAACCUGGUUUUAUCAUGUAUAUUAGAUGCCAUGGGAUUUACACAAAACUCAAAGAAAACUUAAUUGAAUAUUGGUGAUUCAUCAUUAUAGGAAAUAUCUGAGACUACUAUAAGACAUGUGUUAUAGUAGUCUCAGGAAAUAGGCAUAGGUUUUCAAUACUUUCUUUUUAAUCUAUAGAUAUAUAUUUUGCCUUAAAUAGAAUCAUUUUAUCAUUAUGUCAUCUUUGAGGAAUUGAGAUAAUUUGGGGGAGGAGAGGGGAAGGAUCGGAAAUAUUUACCGUUUUAUCAUCUCACAAUACAUCAUUUGAUCAUUGCUAUUAAAUCACACCUUUCAUUUAUGCAUUACUUGCAACCAUUUUUUCUCAUGUUUCUAAAUUAUUUACAACAGGUCACUGGCCACAAUUUAUUUCUCUUACGUUUUUGUCAGAUUAAAUAAAUCGCAUCCUACCGUUUUGUCCAAUUUCUUAUGUGUGUAAUUCUAACCAGACCAAGUAUAACAUAAUACCAAACAUUCAAGAAAAUAGCACCUUUAAAACUCAUAAAAUUCGAUCUAUGCAGAAGAAGAUGUUUCAAAAGCUGUAAAUAUUACCUUUUUGCGUCUGACACAAUUCACUUUUUCUAUUAUAGAACAUUUUCUUUAACAUAAAAUAUAAAAAAUGUAUUUUCAUUUUUUUUUUUCAUUUCUGAAACUGUUUUCUUCAAAACUUUCAACCUUCAACUAUUUUGAUUACUUGGAAUUUUCAAUCCCCAUAACUAGAUAACCAACUGGCUGUAUUUAGAAAACUUUUGUAAAUUUUCGGGUCCUCAAACCUCUUCAUCUUUGUUAUGCGUACAAACAUUUAAUUCUAGUAUCACAAAUGAGUAAGGGAAAGACAAAAUACACUAUAAUUGAAGAGAACAACGAAAAAGGGUCAUCAAUUGUAGUCCUGGGCAACUGAAUACCAUUCAAGUGAAAACUAAUUACCGUGACCAACACUUCUUUGACUCUCUCAUCAUCUAUGCAAUGUUUUCCAAUGUUAUAGUGUUGUUCUGUAAAAAUGAUUUAAACUGUUUGCAGAUUAUUUUGUAUUUUCAUUCUAAAAACAAUAAAAUCAUUCAUCAGUCAA
rnacentral:lncRNA from 1 species